rnacentral:rRNA from 1 species
UUAAAUGAAUUGACGGGGCCCGCACAAGCGGAGGAACAUGUGGUUUAAUUCGAUGAUACGCGAGGAACCUUACCUGGGCUUAAAUGGGAGUGACAGCUGUCGAAAGAUGGUUUUCUUCGGACACUCUUCAAGGUGCUGCAUGGUUGUCGUCAGCUCGUGCCGUGAGGUGUCGGGUUAAGUCCCAUAACGAGCGCAACCCUUACCGUUAGUUACCAUCAGGUUAAGCUGGGGACUCUAGCGGGACUGCCACCGUAAGGUGAGAGGAAGGUGGGGAUGACGUCAAAUCAGCACGGCCCUUAUGUCCAGGGCUACACACGUACUACAAUGGCCGGUACAAAGGGCAGCGACACAGCGAUGUGAAGCCAAUCCCGAAAAGCCGGUCUCAGUCCGGAUUGGAGUCUGCAACUCGACUCCAUGAAGUUGGAAUCGCUAGUAAUCGCGGAUCAGCACGCCGCGGUGAAUACGUUCCCGGGCCUU